UUAGAGUUUAGAUCCUGGCAUCAGAACGAACGCUGUGCGGCAUGCCUAACACAUGCAAGUCGAACGAAGGCUUCGGCCUUAGUGGCGCACGGGUGCGUAACGCGUGGGAAUCUGCCCUUGGGUUCGGAAUAACCAGGAGAAAUUCUGGCUAAUACCGGAUGAUGUCGCAAGACCAAAGAUUUAUUGCCCAAGGAUGACGCCCGCGUAGNGAUUACGCUAGUUGNGUGGGGUAAAGGCUCACCAAGGGCGACGAUCCUUAGUCUGGUCUGAGAGGAUAGAUCAGCCACGACUGGGACUGAGACACGGCCCAGACUCCUACGGGAGGCACGCAGUGGGCGAAUAUUGGACAAUGGGCGAAAGCCUGAUCCAGCAAUGCCGCGUGAGUGAUGAAGGCCCUCGGGUCGUAAAGCUCUUUUACCCGGGAUGAUUAUGACAGUACCGGGAGAAUAAGCUCCGGCUAACUCCGUGCCANCAGCCGCGGUAAUACGGAGGGAGCUAGCGUUGUUCGGAAUUACUGGGCGUCAAUGUUGCACGUGGCGUAUUCAAGUCAGGGGGUGAACCCCGGGGCUCAACCCCGGAAACUGCCUUUGAAAUUUAGGUAGCUAGAAUCUUGGAGAGGCGAGUGGAAAUUCCNGAUGUGUUAGAGUGUAAUUUGUAAAUAUUCGGAAGACCCCAGUGCGAAGGCGACUCGCUGACAAGUAUUGACGCUGAGGUGCGGAAAGCGUGGGGGAGCAAACAGGAUUAGAUACCCUGGUAGUCCACGCCGUAAACGAUGAUAACUAGCUGUCCGGUCACUUGGUGAUUUGGGUGGCGCAGCUAACGCAUUAAGUUAUCCGCCUGGGGAGUACGGCCGCAAGGUUAAAACUCAAAGGAAUUGACGGGGGCCUGCACAAGCGGUGGAGCAUGUGGUUUUAAUUCGAAGCAACGCGCAGAACCUUACCAGCGUUUGACAUGCCCGGUAUGGUUUCCGGAGAUGGAUUCCUUCCCUUCGGGGGCCGGUGCACAGGUGCUGCAUGGCUGUCGUCAGCUCGUGUCGUGAGAUGUUGGGUUAAGUCCCGCAACGAGCGCAACCCUCGUCCUUAGUUGCCAUCAUUUGGUUGGGCACUCUAAGGAAACCGCCGGUGAUAAGCCGGAGGAAGGUGGGGAUGACGUCAAGUCCUCAUGGCCCUUACGCGCUGGGCUACACACGUGCUACAAUGGCGGUGACAGUGGGCAGCAAGCACGCGAGUGUGAGCUAAUCUCCAAAAGCCGUCUCAGUUCGGAUUGUUCUCUGCAACUCGAGAGCAUGAAGGCGGAAUCGCUAGUAAUCGCGGAUCAGCACGCCGCGGUGAAUACGUUCCCAGGCCUUGUACACACCGCCCGUCACACCAUGGGAGUUGGUUUCACCCGAAGGCAGUGCGCUAACCCGCAAGGGAGGCAGCUGACCACGGUGGGAUCAGCGACUGGGGUGAAGUCGUACAAGUAGCCGUAGGGGAACCUGCGGCUGGAUCACCUCC
rnacentral:rRNA from 1 species